ACACAUGUAUCAAGUUUCCGGUUAAUACAAUUCUAGCAUGAAUAAUAAACAUUUAUCAUGAUAUAAGGAAAUAUAAAAUAACAACUUUAUUAUUGCCUCUAGGGCAUAUUUCCUUCAGGGGAGUCGCCCGUUCUUUUGUGAAAACCCAGCUUGACAAUUUCUCUCUCACAAAAUCCCCUUUUUUAUGACAAGUCCCGUCAAUAUUUUCUCUCUCACAAAAAGCCCUUGUUUUAUUCGUAAAAACCCAUGAUGUUUUCUCUCUCAUAAAAGAGCCCUGGCCCACCUGCCAGGGACCUCGGGACUCAAACCACAUACAUGCAGACUACAGAAACAGGUGUGUACCACCCCAUCCAUCGCCAUUUGUGGUUGAAUAUGCAUAGGAAAUCUCUAUAUCCUUUGUAGGGAAUAAUAGUUUUAAUCAAAAUGAAAAAUAUAGCCAAGGGAAUUGAGCCGGCGACCUCAUACGAACUUGCACCUCUGCCUGCCACUACAAAGAAGAAGAUAUAAUGUAUAAAUAGGAUAAUUAAACUUUCUGUUUGCAAACUGUAGUCAUAUGUUAUAAAUAAUUAAAAAUAAUUAUAUAAAAAAUAUGUACAAGUAAUUUAAAAAGCUAUUAUAUAUUUAAAUAAAUGAUGAUAAAAGUUUGAAAAUGUUCAUGAUUAAUAAAAUACUCAUGAUUUUAUAGAAAAUAGGUUACUUUAAGAACCUGAUGUAAUAAAUUUGUGUAUUGUCUAAAAAAAUAUAAAUUAAAAAUUAAAUUAGAUAUAAAAUAUAAAUAUGUAUGAAAAAUAUAAGUGAGCAUAGUGUGCCCCUAGACUGCAGAUCUUCAAAUGAAUAUUAUUUUAAGUUAUGUACACUUUUUUCAUUAUAUGAAGAUGUUUUAUAAUGAUACGCGAUUUUUAAAAAAUAAGGACAUUUCUCUAACUUAAUUUAUUUGUAUGCAUUAUUUAUAACAUGAAAUAUCCCAACUUGGUUGUUUUUACUGUGAUUAUUAAUUUUAAAAUUUCUAAAAAAGUCUAACUUGCGGAAAAUGGGCCGCACUGACUUUAGACUAUUACUUUAUAUCAUAAUUAAUUAUAUGGCUAUAACUAAAAUUAAUAAUUGAAUAUUUAAUGAAAUUAUACUAUCAAUUUUUAAAUUUUAUUUGUUUAUUUUUAUGUAUACUGUUUUUAACAUAUGAUUACAGUUUGGAUACAAAUAGUUUGACUCUUUACACAUGAUAUCUUCUUUGUUGGAGUGGUAGGCAGAGGUGCAACCUCGCAUGAUGUCUCCUGUUCGAUACCCUCGCUUGUCUUUUUUCAUUUUGAUUAUUCACUCCAAAGAUAUAUAAAUUUCCUAUCCUCAGUUAACCACAGAUGCGAUGGCUUGGUUGGCUAUACACCCGCUCGUGCAGUCCGUGGGUCUGUGGUUCUAGUCCCCGUACAGACAAGUAUAGGUCUCCCUUAUAAUUUUUAAGGUCGCUGGUAGGUGGGCCAGGACUCUUUUGUGAGAAAAAAUGAUGAGGGGUUUUCCAAAAAAUAGGGGUUAUUUUUGUGAGAGAAAAUAUUGAGGGGUUUUAAAAAAAACAGGGGCUUUUUUGAGAAUUUUGAUCAACUUCCUUUAAUAAAAAAACAGGCCACACGCCCCGUCUCUCGUUGACAGCGGGCCCCAGGCCACACUGGUGCGCCUAGUCAGUGCCGAUUUCGUAUCUAACCGUGAUUAGCACUGUGUUUGCACAAUAGAGCCAAAAUUUUGCAACACUUCAAUGUUUGCUGCGGUUUCUAUCACUAAGGUGAUCAUUUGCGUCAAGUUCUAGCACCACCAACGUAAUUGACUCGCUAAAGAAAUUUGACAUCCGUGGACAACACAAAUUGCCAUAAAAACGUUCGCAUUUGCCAUGCCUUCCAACGAACGUUCGCUGGUUACGAUGGUUCUAUGUAAUUUAUCUCAAUAACUAUAUAUAAUUUGACGGAAUUUGUAAUUUAUACAUGUCGAUUUUGUGGAAAUAGGAAUGUCUGGAUUAAAAAAAAGGCUAGAGGAAGAAGAAAUAAGGACUACCUGCAUCUUAAUCUAAUAACCCGAAAAUUUGACUUAGGUGUGUAUAGUUGGUCCCUUAAUUAUCAUUAUUUCGUUGGCUUUUAAGGGGUCUAGUACUCCAUCCGUUUCUUUUCAAUUGGCAUAUAAAUUUUUCUCCACCAAAAUCGUAAAUUUUGAUCAAUUUUACAAAAAAAAUAUCAACAUUCAUAAUACGAAUAUUAUUAGAUGCUUCAUGAAAUUGAUUUUCAUACUAUAUAACUUUAAUAUUAUAGAUAUUGAUAUUUUUCAAGAUAAUUUUGUUCAAACUUUGUGUAGUUUGAUUUCAAAUAAAUUUAUUUUGUACGAAGGGUAAACAGAAACGGAGAGAGGAUGGUUGCACGCGAGCUCAGAGCAAAGCAGGAGGACCAAAAGCAUGUGGGUAUAAAUUUUGGCGCGAAAAAGUGGCGCGGGUAUUCUUUUCGCGCUAACGGAAACGAUUUUGGCGCGAGCCUUGCUAUGACAUGGGCGCCAAAAUUCGCAAGAAAUCCCCUUCUAACAGAGAGCGGAGCGAGACCAUCGAUCCCCAAUCCAGGAGGCGAGGGAGGAAGAGAUGGAGCCGUCGCAGAGAAGCGAGGGCGCCAGCAUCAAGAAGCCCAGGACCCCGCCGGCGCCGCCCGGGGCCUACACCGGCGCCGAGCUCCUCGGGGAAAUACUCCGUCGCCUCCCCGACAUGGCGUCACUCGCCAGCGCCGCCCUCGUCUGCAAGCGCUGGGGCCGCAUCGCUUCCGACCCCGCCGUCUUCCGCCGCUUCAGCUCCCUCCGCAGGCCCCCGCUCGUCGGCGUCAUCCUCACCGACCUUGGCCGCGAGCGCUUCCCCCUCCACAACCCUGCUCUCCGCUUCAUUGCGGCACACUCGCGUCACCCCGAGCAGGACCUCGCCGCAGCAUUCGGCGAUUUCUACUUCCAACGCCACCCCGAGAUUAAAGCUGCCGACGAGUGGCGCCUCCGUGGCUGCGACGGUGGCCUCCUCCUCCUCUCCUGCGGCCGCUAUGCGUCGAAGCUCGCCGUCUACGACCCUCUCGAGUGUACUGCCAUCUUCUUCCAGCCACCCGAGCGCUGGCACACCGGCCGGUACGCCAUCGUCGCCGACGAGGCCGACGCCUCCUUCCAGGUCAUCGGCAUAGAUCUCUGGGUCGAAGAAACCUUUGCCGUCUUCUCCUCCCGCACCGGCAAAUGGGUCGUGCUUGACUCAUCGUUUCCAUACUGGGGAUUCGCGUGGCCUCGCAGCGACGGUAUGGCCGCUGGGCGGUUCGCGUACUGGCGGUCGAACACCAAGAAGAACUUGUUAAGACCAUGGGAUCGACUAGGCUAGGAUUUCGGAGUAGAUUGAACUAUCUAUGAUCUGUUUGUGUGUAUACCUUAGCGUUCCGGCCAUCGCUUCAGCGACGGUCGGUGUAGAGGUCGAUGGUGAUGGCCGAGAGUGGUGGCGUCGGUGGGCUUCCCAUCGCUUCAGCGCCUCCCUCUAGAUCGGAUAGGGUUAGGAGUGGGGAACAGUGGUGGCGACGAACCUCGUACCUCGUGCCUCUGAUCCCCACCUCCUCUUUAUAGCACUGCGCGACAGGGGCUCACCAGCCUUGCUUGGGUUGGACGCCCCCGAUCAGGGCGUGGGUCAAGGACCCAAUGAGCCGUUGGGCCCAUUGGUGGAGAGAUCAACCUAACAUUCUCCCCCUUGAUCUCAUCAUUAUACUUUUAACUUUAUACUUCGAAAUAACUCUUUUUAACGUACUCGUUCCAUCACAGAUUUGCAUGUAGAGCAUGUCUCAUCGUCACGGUUCAUUCCCGAUAGAAUCAACACCUACAACACACUCCUCUGUUUUGAAACAGAUUCUUUAACCUUGGACCCUUUUAUUGUCCGGAAAUCUUAGACUAUACCAUAAAAUCCAUGUCGACUGUGUGUUCUCCGAACACACUGGGCGGCAAGCCUUUAAUAAGCAGAUCUGCAAAUACUUGUCUGUUGCUUUCAUGCUCCAAGCAUUUCAACAUAAUUCCGGACUUUCUCCUUAACAACGUAUAACUCUGUGUCAAUGUGUUUGGCACCACACUUGACUCGUUGUCAUAGGAGCGAAUUACUUAACGGUUAUUGUUGUCGUCAACCAUUAUCAACUCCGGGUACAUGUUUCUUUAACCAUUUUGCCUGUCCCUCGGCCUCAUAUCAUGUUGUACAUUAUUUUUACAUCAUAUUAAUGAUAAUUGAUUCAUUCUUUAGAGUUUUUCUACACAAAAACUCCAAGUGUGAAAGUCAGCGACAAUUGUGGAUUUCGCUGUAUAUUUCACAAGUUCUAUUUCUGUAUUCACAACCUUUCGAGAACACUUGCUCCUUUUAGCAUGAGGCCAAUAUUUUUGACUCCAUUCCAGUGAUCUAUAUCUGGACUGGACAUUACCAAAACAACCCGGUUAUGUGAACUGUGUCACGGUAAUGUUAUACUUUUGCAUUCAUUAAGCUUCCAACAGCUGAAGCAUAUGGUACCAUAUUCAUUUGGUCUAUUUCGUAUUUACUUUUGGAACACUAAAGUUCCCAAAAUCAUUACCCUUUACUAUAAGAACAGGUGUAGGUUUUCUCGCAUGCAUACUUUAGAAACUUUCCUUAGCAUGCCCAUGCGACACUCCUAAUACCCCUUUUUUUCUUUUCUCGGUGAAUCUCGAUCCUUAUAACGAGAGACAUUCUUUUGAACUUUGAGGACAAGAACUUCGUUUCCUCCUGCAGUAGAUUGACAUGACCACUAGCAAGUAGGACGUCAUCCACAUGCACAGGAUUAUGAAAUGAAUUUCCCAUUCUAUAACUUUGCUUGGAUACAAUUGUCCUCUCAUUUUCUUUAACCCUAAAUAACAUUUGAUUGCUUUAGUCCAUAAAAGACUUCUUCAGGCAGUAUCCCCUGUGUUCUUUACUUUCAUCUGAUGUAACUCAGAUCAUGAUGUCGAUCAUGAUGUGCCACUAACACUCAUUGUAAUCUAUUCAUUCUCUUUGCACAAAAUCUUUCGAUUUAAGUCGUGCUUUAUACCUUCACAUAUUUCCUUUGGAGUCACACUGACCUUGUAGACCCUUUACAGCCUAUUGUUUUGGCUUCAUUGGAAAUUACUCAUGAGUCCCAAACAUCGUCGGGAUUCACCAAAUUUAUUUCAUCUCAUAUAGUGUCUUAUCAUUUAGACAAAACAGACACUACUCAAAGCUCGAUUGAGUGCUUUAAUUGAGGUAGGAUCAACCUCCGUUAACAUAGACUUUAUAGUAAUCAGAAGUAUCUGAUUUUCUCAUUCCUUGAGACCAUCUGUGUGUCAGAUACUGGCACUUCUUUUCAUAUGGGGCUGUUGUUCCUCUUUCAUUGCCAAGAGGCAAAUUAAUUGUAUAGUCUUUCAUUUUCAAGCGGCCAUAGGUUUUAAUCAUUCCUCCUUUAUAGAGCUAACAACCUGUGUUGUAUAGGUCAUACAACAUGCUCCCCCAGAUACAAUCUAUUUGAGUCUUAGGUAUCUUCAUACCAUGCUCCCCCAGAUUACUCCAUCUUCACUAAGAAUGGCGUAUCUUUAAACUUUAUUAUUUAGGUUUAUUCUGUUAAAACUUUCUUCUUUAUGGCACUUUAAGCACCGACUUAGUAUUCCUUAGUUUUCUUUUCUUGAGGGGUAUUAUUAUGAUCAUCGUACUCCCCCAGACGGUCACAUUCUUCAUUAAUGGAUAUCUCAUAUUUCUUCCCCCCCCCCUCGAAAUGUGGCAAGAACUUUUUUGCCACAAUUUCGAAAAAACCAUUCACAACUCUUGUGAAUUGAGAAAAGUUUGAGUAUCUACUUCAUUUAUUUGAUUACUUCAUAUGUAACGAAGUUAUCUGUUGACUGGUAUGGGAGUACUUUUUCCUUAUUCCAUUUCAGAAACUCAACAGAGUUCUUUAUCAUUAGUACUUUUGCAAGUCACACUUGCAUAUCAUUCUUAUCUUUAGGUUCGUCUGUAACUUUUAUUCUCUUCGGAGUUAUUGAGUGCUUAAUGAUUGUUACACAUAAGAUGUAUGGUCGAUACUAGGAAAGCACAAUAGCUACUCCAUACUUUUCUCCCAGAGUGGGACACAUUAAAAUCACAUGAGUCAUCAUGUGUUUCUCCUGUCAUACAGGAUAAGUCUGAGAAAAUUUCUGCCGCCAUACGGGUUACGAAGGGAUUUUCCCAGACUUUUCCUGCUAUGCGGGUUUUAUCAUAAUCAUAUUUUCCCGCCAUGCGGGUAAUUCUCUGUAAGGGACAUAAAUGCCAGAAUUGGCUCUUUGGACUGCAUAUUCAAUCAUCAAGUUUAUAAAUAAAUCCGAAUGCUCUUUGACACAUAUGCUUGAUCAUGCAUGUUGCUUGUUUCAUCUCAAAUCAUGUUGACUGAAAAAUCUUGUUCAUAGAGAGUACAUGAAAGACAUUCGUCAACCAAGACUCUCAAUGAUCUAUCUCUUUUCUUUUCUUGGAUAUUAAUAUCCGAGAAUUAUUUUCUUUUGAAGCCAUUCUUUAGAGAGAACAUACUCCCUCACAUUAUGACCUUUCUUGGUCAUCUUUCGGGUCACAAGUACCCAGACAUUCGUUUUCACGAAUGAAGGCAUGGAAAAAUUAUAGUCUGAGAAAAAUUAGCCAAUAAUCAACAAUAAUGAGCAUAAAAAUAACCCCAUGUUGAUCUAGUUAAAAAAUACGCACAUUAAAUUUUUAAAACUUCCUUUUAUAUUCUAAAUCACCGUUGGGCUGAAUUAGAACGAAACAUCAUCCUUAUCCUUCUACAUUAAUUCCAUAUCACCGUCGGGCAGAAAUGGAAAUAACGCAUAUAACUUAUAAAUAAUGUGAUGAUAAAAUUUCUAUUAAGCAACUUUGCUAAGAAAAUAAUCAUCAUUAUCAACUUUAUUGCAGCGGAAAACUAACAAUAUACAUUUCUCACUCUUUAUCAAAUGCUUUGAAAUUUGUCACUUUGAUACAAAACUUAUCAGAGAUUUGAACUUUUAACUAUAAGACUCAUUGAAUUAUAAUAUUGUCAUCUUCAACGUUGGUCAGAAAAUAACAAUACCAUAAUUAAACUUUAAUCAAAUAUCUUUCUACUGUCAUAGCAGAAGCUAUCUGAAUCUGAGAUUUGACCCACAGGGGUAAAACAUGGCUAAGAACAUUUUUUUCCAAUUAAAUUUUCCCGUUGGUUCCAAUUUAAUUGAAGAUAAAACUUUUACUUUGCAGCGGAAAACAUGAAUAAAAAAUUCAUGACCUUUUAUUCUUGACAGAAACUUUUCUUUGACCAAAAUAAAAAAUCAUGAACUUUAUUAUUUCCUUUAUAAAAAUUCAUGACCUUUUCUUUUUCUGAAAAGUUUAUAUUUUUAUUUUCAGAAACUUUUCUAUUUUUCUUUGCAGGAAUGUUUCUAUUCCUUUUCUAUUUUCUAAACAAAUUUGCGUUGGAUUAUUAAUUUGAAUAGAAAAACUAUAUUAAAUUUGCCCAAAUAAACGGACAAAAGACCAUUUUAGACCGGCCCAACCACCGAGCGCACGCGCCUGCCGGCCUUUCCUCUAGCCUAAACUGGCCCAAAGGGCCCAGCGCGGGGCGCUGAUCUCUGGCCUGGUCCGGCAGACCAGAAGCCCAAGCCACUUUCGGCCUACUGGCCUGUCUGCGCUAGGGUUUUAUCUGUGACCGUCGAUUAGGAUCGGACUGUCCAGCGCCGAUUUCGCUAGAAUAGAACUGGGAGGGGUUCCUCCCGAUCGAAACCUAGCGCCCCCAUUCGCAUCGUUCGACUCAACCCCUCUGCGCCUCUCUCCGUCGCCCCUCUGUGCGGCAGCGGUGGCCGAGCGGAGACCGCGAUGCCUCUGCCGCACUACGGCGGCAUCCUCUACGUCGGCACCCAAGACGGCCGACGCCCAGGCCUCGCGCGGGAGGCGCUGCUGCGAAGGCACGGCGGCCCCGGCGGCCGGUUCCGAAGGCCCGCGUGACGGGGAAAACUCUCUGGAUCGAAAAUUCUUUUUCUGUUUCUGUAAUCAUCUGUCAUCAUUUAAUCGAUCUAGGAACUGUAGGUCACGAUUUCUUUUCUUUGUACUACUCGAAAAAUCUAGAGCCUAGAUCGCUCUGACACCAUUGUUAAGACCAUGGGAUCGACUAGGCUAGGAUUUCGGAGUAGAUUGAACUAUCUAUGAUCUGUUUGUGUGUAUACCUUAGCGUUCCGGCCAUCGCUUCAGCGACGGUCGGUGUAGAGGUCGAUGGUGAUGGCCGAGAGUGGUGGCGUCGGUGGGCUUCCCAUCGCUUCAGCGCCUCCCUCUAGAUCGGAUAGGGUUAGGAGUGGGGAACAGUGGUGGCGACGAACCUCGUACCUCGUGCCUCUGGUCCCCACCUCCUCUUUAUAGCACUGCACGACAGGGGCCCACCAGCCUUGCUUGGGCUGGACGCCCCCGAUCAGGGCGUGGGUCAAGGGCCCAAUGAGCCGUUGGGCCCAUUGGUGGAGAGAUCAACCUAACAGAACUGGCAUGAGGAUGAAGAGAAGAUAUAUGUGCUUGACACGAAAACCAUGGUGUGGUCGGUUAUAACCGCGCCGUUCCCGGUUGGCGAGUCGUACUGCGUGGCGGACAUGGCGGAGCACGGCGGGCUGUGCAUCGUGUCCAGCAGGGAGCAAAGCGUGCUGCUCUGGGUCCGUGAUAUCAAUGGUGGAUGGGUGGUCAAGAAGGAGGUCUCCUUGCUGAAUCAGUUUGGGUACUUAAAGAGAAUUCGUCGUGACGAAUGGAUGAAGAGGCUGCGCAUCCUCGCAAUGAAGGCUGGCUAUGUCUACAUGGAGUUUUGGUCCAUAAGGAAGUCUGAAUCCUAUAUUCUUGUGCUCAAUCUGAACACCGUCAAGCUGCAACAAUUCUUUCGCAACAUUACGGCUAAGCGCUACAGGGGUGCUGCUUUUCCAUUCUUCUUGAGGUUUCACCACUGCUUGCCACAUAUGAUGAUAAGGAAGUUCAAGAUGCUUGAUAGCAUGGAGUAGGUAAUCUCCUAUUUGAUCCUUUUGUUAGAUUUAUCUCUCUUACUUCUACUUUGAUCGAUCUAGCUAUUAUUACCAGUGCAAAUUGCUCACCAAGCCACUCGGAUCAGUUAGAUUUACUGUCCAAGUUCAUAAAAUUCAUAGAGUUUAUAGAGUUUCAUGGAUUUGUAUUUUGUUAGUAUUAUAAACAUUUGUAUAAUGUGCCUUUUGUUACUGAUGGCUCCAGCUUACUUGGCACCAACUAGUUUCCCAGAUUAUUUUCCCUAGAACUCACAAUCUUGUAACCUUUGUUGCUUUAUUUGUGACUUGCUUCCUUAAAUGAAUCUGCCCCUGUUUUUCACUGUGAAAAAUCCGCUGUUUUCCAGAUUAUUUUUCUAGAACUCAUGAUCAUGUGUAAAAGUAUAAUGCGCCUUUUGUUACUGGGUAGUGGGGACUCCAGCUGACUUGGCACCAACUAGUUUCCCAGAUUAUUUUCCCUAGAACUCAGAAUCUUGUAACCUUUGUUGCUUUAUUGUGACUUGCUUCCUUAAAUGAAUGUGCCCCUGUUUUUCACUGUAAAAAAAAUCCCCUGUUUUCCAGAUUAUUUUCCUAGAACUCAUGAUCAUGUGUAGAAGUAGUUGAUCUGUUUCCAGAAGCUGUUGAUUCAUUAUGUCUAGUUUGCCCAGAUUAUUUGAUCAAGUGCUAGUCCAUCUUGUUUAUUGGGCAAUUAAUAUGUUGAUCAAAAGUUUAAGAAGGAACUACUCAGUUGUUUAUUUAAUGAUGAUUAUUUUUUCUCAGAUAUUGCAAACAUAUCAUGAGUCAGACUUACUAGUACAAGUGUGCUAAAUAAAAACUGAUUACUUCUUGAAAUGGUUCCACGUUACAAAUAACUGAUUUUUCUUGCUUGUUUAAUAUUUCCUGUCAUUUGAGACUUUGCUUUAUGGUGUGUAGACUGUAGUUAGCAGCUAAUGCGUCGCUGUUCAGUUGGUUUUUAGAAACACAAUAAGGCUUAGCAUCAGGUCAUAAGUUGCACCCAUGAUCUGUAUGUUCUUUAACUGAACAAAUUUACAUAAUGCUCUGAGUAUUCGAAUUCUUUGGAAUGCAUGAAUCAUGAUCAAAUUAUCAAGCAUGCUUGCUCAUUUCUGUGUACUAGUAGUAGUGACUUCAAGGUGACCAAUGACUGUUAUAGUUUGCAAAUGGUCCAUCAUAUAAUGAAAAAAGAGUUACAGUAGGGGUCUUCACUACUGUUUUUGCUAAAAAAAGACUGUUAUAGUUUGUGGUGGCAUGGAUUUUAUAGUUAAUAUAUGUAGCAAUACAUAGUAGUUUCUACAGUUUGAGGCAUGCCCUAUAAACGAAUCACCAUGUGUGCUUUGGAAGGAAACUAAUCUAGUUCUUUGAAUUUCAGGUCAGGUGCUACAUGUAACUUUGAUUAGAAGUUACUCCCUCCGAUCCAAAAUAAGUGUCGCAGUUUUGAACUAAGGUUGGUUCAACCUUAGUUCAAAACUGCGACACUUAUUAUGGAAUGGUGGGAGUACUUAAUAUGGAGCAUUGAAAUGGAGUUGCAGCAGCUGAUUGGUACAUGUUCUCCGUUUGGCGGUAUGAGUUUCAACAUUGGAAUGGAGAUGUAUCUGCUCUAUUUUGUGGAAAUAGCUUCAAUGUAAUCUGAAUUUACUCAUUUUCAGUUAUGAGACCUGUUUAAUGCUAAAUCAAUGAUACUUUAACUGAGAUGGUUAAGUUUAAUAUCAGUCAUGUGCUCGUGUUUCAUCUUAAUUAUUAGAUCAGCAUGUGACAUCGUAAUUCAGCUGGGAGUGUAGCUCUACAGUUUAUAUAUCCAGCCUAGUAUUCUUACAGAAAUGCUGCGCCACAUAAAUAUGUUUACGUGGUCAUCCCGGUCAUUGUAGGUGGUGUUGUGCAUCUUCAUCGAAUUGUUAACUUCU
rnacentral:lncRNA from 1 species